rnacentral:rRNA from 1 species
AUACGGAGGGGGUUAGCGUUGUUCGGAAUUACUGGGCGUAAAGCGUACGUAGGCGGAUUGGUAAGUUAGAGGUGAAAUCCCGGGGCUCAACCCCGGAACUGCCUUUAAUACUGCCAGUCUUGAGUUCGAGAGAGGUGAGUGGAAUUCCGAGUGUAGAGGUGAAAUUCGUAGAUAUUCGGAGGAACACCAGUGGCGAAGGCGGCUCACUGGCUCGAUACUGACGCUGAGGUACGAAAGUGUGGGGAGCAAACAGGAUUAGAUACCCCAGUAGUCC